rnacentral:rRNA from 1 species
CUGCCCAAGAGACUGGGAUAACACCUGGAAACAGAUGCUAAUACCGGAUAACAACACUAGACGCAUGUCUAGAGUUUGAAAGAUGGUUCUGCUAUCACUCUUGGAUGGACCUGCGGUGCAUUAGCUAGUUGGUAAGGUAACGGCUUACCAAGGCAAUGAUGCAUAGCCGAGUUGAGAGACUGAUCGGCCACAUUGGGACUGAGACGCGGCCCAAACUCCUACGGGAGGCAGCAGUAGGGAAUCUUCCACAAUGGACGAAAGUCUGAUGGAGCAACGCCGCGUGAGUGAAGAAGGGUUUCGGCUCGUAAAGCUCUGUUGGUAGUGAAGAAAGAUAGAGGUAGUAACUGGCCUUUAUUUGACGGUAAUUACUUAGAAAGUCACGGCUAACUACGUGCCAGCAGCCGCGGUAAUACGUAGGUGGCAAGCGUUGUCCGGAUUUAUUGGGCGUAAAGCGAGUGCAGGCGGUUCAAUAAGUCUGAUGUGAAAGCCUUCGGCUCAACCGGAGAAUUGCAUCAAAAACUGUUGAACUUGAGUGCAGAAGAAGGAGAGUGGAACUCCAUGUGUAGCGGUGGAAUGCGU